UUAUUCAGAUCUUGUAUUGAUGAUGUCAGAGUCUCCAGCUCGUCCCAAACAUUCUCUAGGACAGUGUUUCCUGAUCCUGGUCCUCCGAGCUGAUCCUGAUUCAAAUGAGUGGCUCGUUAUCAGGCCUCUGCAGAGUUUUGAUGACGAGCUGAUCAUUUGAAUCAGGUGUGUUGGAGCAGGAAACAUCUAAAACAUGCAGGACAGCGUUCCCCGGGAUCCCGGGACGGGUUCAGGUCUGGACUCUGGUCUGGUCUCAUGCUCCCUGAACCUCUUUCUCUAUCUGAGCCCCAUGAAUCCUGGUGGUGUCGUCCUGGAAUAUGGAAGAAAAACUCCAUGGAUGGAAGAACCUGCUCCUUCAGUGUAUUCAGGGAGUCAGCUGACCUCAUUCUCUGAACCUGAACAUCUGCACCAACCCCACAUCACAGCACUGCACCCCACAUUCCUGGACACAAUCCUGGCAGCUGAUUGGCCGAGGGAGCCGUCCGUCACCUGGAGGAGCUGCAGCAACGGCUGCCAAAACAAACAGGCCUAUGGCGUCAGCAGAGCGGAGUCCCUGUCGCCUCCUGAGAGAGGGGGGACGGGUUAAACAGGAUGUGACAUCAUGGGCAGAGGUCGUGGCUGUUUGUGCAGAGUUGGCUCCAGACUGAGCUUCAGUUUAUAACCGAGCAGCUUUCACACGAGCACACGACUGGGAGAACUCAGUGUUCCCUUCAGAAUGCAUAACGCCCACUGUCACAGAAAAACAGGAUCAGAAAAUAAGUUUCAAAGAUCAGGAACAACUGAGGAGUCCAGAAACAUGUUGUUCUCUGACGCUUCAUUCUGUAAAUAGCUGCUGAAAUCCUGCCAUCAGCAAACUGGACAUGAUGUACCUCGAUCUUUUCUCUUGUGGAUCAUUAAAGUCUGAGUUUAAUGCCCCAGCAGAGGCAGCAGCUCUGUGGAGUUUUAGUUGGAAUGAGCAGUUUCUGCAUGGACCCAUUUAAACUGCACCCUACACAGAUCAUGUGGAGGGGGGCAGGUCUUUGGGGGCCCUCAGGGAGCCCUCCGGGGGCCUCGGGGGGAACCUCGGCGCCCCCCCAGGGAUGCAAACCACUCAGAUACCAUCACUGCUGUCAAUCAUUUAUUCAUCAAUAAUCAAACAUCACACAGUCACGUGAUCAUCAGAGUCACGUGAUCAUCAGAGUCAUUGUUCAUCUGCAGCUCAGGUGCAUCUCCUCACUGGCUCAAGGUUCUCACUGGUUUAAGUUCACUCUUGUCUCCAGAGUCCGGUCUGGCUUUCAGAACCAGUCCUGGUACCAACAUCUGACGCGGCCCCGAGGCCCAAUCAGUCCCCCCCACUCAGGCAGCAGGAAGCAGGAAGCCCCUCCCCGGUCCGGUCCGGUCCGGUCUGGUCCGGUCCAGUCCGGCCCGAUGGGUUCGGCUCCUUCACUCAAACGCCGUUACUCGUCUGGUGCCGAG